UACGGGGGGGGCAAGCGUUGUUCGGAAUUACUGGGCGUAAAGGGCUCGUAGGCGGCCAACUAAGUCAGACGUGAAAUCCCUCGGCUUAACCGGGGAACUGCGUCUGAUACUGGAUGGCUUGAGUUUGGGAGAGGGAUGCGGAAUUCCAGGUGUAGCGGUGAAAUGCGUAGAUAUCUGGAGGAACACCGGUGGCGAAGGCGGCAUCCUGGACCAACACUGACGCUGAGUGAACGAAAGCCAGGGGAGCAAACGGG
rnacentral:rRNA from 1 species